AUGAGAGUGCUUGUUGAUGAAGAGCAUUUGGGUUGGAAUAAAGCGUGGGACAUUGCUUGCAACUGGCUUGCGAGCAUAUGCAGCAGAUCCUGACCUUCAACAAGAAUGGAUGAUGGUUAAGAAGGUUAACAAAAUGAGGCUCGCUGAGUA